CGGUGGCGUAGAGACAGGUGCUGCAUGGCUGUCGUCAGCUCGUGUCGUGAGAUGUUGGGUUAAGUCCCGCAACGAGCGCAACCCUCGCCCUUAGUUGCCAGCAUUCAGUUGGGCACUCUAAGGGGACUGCCGGUGAUAAGCCGAGAGGAAGGUGGGGAUGACGUCAAGUCCUCAUGGCCCUUACGGGCUGGGCUACACACGUGCUACAAUGGUGGUGACAGUGGGCAGCGAAGGGGCGACCCCGAGCUAAUCUCCAAAAGCCAUCUCAGUUCGGAUUGCACUCUGCAACUCGAGUGCAUGAAGUUGGAAUCGCUAGUAAUCGCGGAUCAGAACGCCGCGGUGAAUACGUUCCCGGGCCUUGUACACACCGCCCGUCACACCAUGGGAGUUGGUUUUACCCGAAGGCGCUGCGCUAACCGCAAGGGGGCAGGCGACCACGGUAG
rnacentral:rRNA from 1 species